AGAUAACGCAGGUGUCCU
rnacentral:snRNA from 1 species